rnacentral:pre_miRNA from 1 species
AGCAUGAUUGCUGGAUUAUAUGGUAAGAGUAUGUUUAGUUUUAUAAGAAACUGCCAAACUAUCUUCCAAAGUGGCUGUACCAUUUUUCAUUCCCACCAGCAAU